rnacentral:misc_RNA from 1 species
AAAAAAAAAAAAAAAAAACAGCAGUGGUGUGAGAACAGUGAUCCCAAUGAGUGUUGAAGACUACUGAUGUCCGCAAAUGGCGUUGGCAUUUUGGAGUUAGGAAGGACAAUGGGGCGGGGGUGGCAUCUCUCCGUCUUCACCCUGUAGGAGUCUAAAGUCUAAGAAAUGGGACGAGAUGAGAUUUUUUAUGGAAUAAAGACAUAGUUGAG